rnacentral:lncRNA from 1 species
AUCUGUUCCCUAAAAUAUCUGAGGGAUGGCUAUAUAUACAUGUAUCAUUGGGUCGGAUCAGACGACCCAAUGGCGGAAGAAUGGGGCUCAGACAUAUUGGGCUCGUUACACACAUUUUGCCCAAACAACAAAUAGAUCAUCAUAGCCCAUAUAAUGUAUACCAGAGAAUACAAUAAAUAUAUAGUGUAUAUACAUUGUGUACAAUCAUGUAAGCUCUUUCAUCUCAACACCCCCCCUCAAGUUGGAGGGGGAAACC